rnacentral:rRNA from 1 species
AACGAACGCUGGCGGCAUGCCUAACACAUGCAAGUCGAACGAGAUCUUCGGGUCUAGUGGCGCACGGGUGCGUAACGCGUGGGAAUCUGCCCUUAGGUUCGGAAUAACAGUUGGAAACGACUGCUAAUACCGGAUGAUGACGAAAGUCCAAAGAUUUAUCGCCAGAGGAUGAGCCCGCGUAGGAUUAGCUAGUUGGUGUGGUAAAGGCGCACCAAGGCGACGAUCCUUAGCUGGUCUGAGAGGAUGAUCAGCCACACUGGGACUGAGACACGGCCCAGACUCCUACGGGAGGCAGCAGUGGGGAAUAUUGGACAAUGGGCGAAAGCCUGAUCCAGCAAUGCCGCGUGAGUGAUGAAGGCCUUAGGGUUGUAAAGCUCUUUUACCCGGGAUGAUAAUGACAGUACUGGGAGAAUAAGCUCCGGCUAACUCCGUGCCAGCAGCCGCCGUAA